AUUGAACGCUGGCGGCAUGCUUUACACAUGCAAGUCGAACGGCAGCGCGGGGCAACCUGGCGGCGAGUGGCGAACGGGUGAGUAAUACAUCGGAACGUACCCAGAAGUGGGGGAUAACGUAGCGAAAGUUACGCUAAUACCGCAUACGUUCUACGGAAGAAAGUGGGGAAUCGCAAGACCUCAUGCUUUUGGAGCGGCCGAUGUCUGAUUAGCUAGUUGGUGAGGUAAAGGCUCACCAAGGCGACGAUCAGUAGCUGGUCUGAGAGGACGACCAGCCACACUGGGACGGAGACACGGCCCAGACUCCUACGGGAGGCAGCAGUGGGGAAUUUUGGACAAUGGGCGCAAGCCUGAUCCAGCAAUGCCGCGUGAGUGAAGAAGGCCGUCGGGUUGUAAAGCUCUUUUGUCAGGGAAGAAACGGCUGAGGUUAAUACCUUCGGCUAAUGACGGUACCUGAAGAAUAAGCACCGGCUAACUACGUGCCAGCAGCAGCCGCGG
rnacentral:rRNA from 1 species